GGACUACCGGGGUAUCUAAUCCCGUUUGCUCCCCUGGCUUUCGCGCCUCAGCGUCAGUAGAGAUCCAGCGCGCCGCUUUCGCCACCGGUGUUCCUUCCGAUAUCUACGCAUUUCACCGCUCCACCGGAAGUUCCGCACGCCCCUAUCUCCCUCGAGACGGCCAGUAUCAGGGGCACUUCCACGGUUGAGCCGUGGGCUUUCACCUCUGACUUGACCGCCCGCCUACGCGCCCUUUAAGCCCAGUGAUUCCGAACAACGUUCGCACGGUUCGUCUUACCGCGGCGGCUGGCAC
rnacentral:rRNA from 2 species